AUACUCCCUUUGGCCAACACAUAUGUUAAAAUUGGAACAAUACAGAGAUUAACAUGGUCCCUGCACAAGGAUACCAUGCAAAUUCAUGAAGCAUUCCAUAGUUAC